GUGAUUGUUUUGUUUGGGAAAGAGGAGGGUGGUAAGAACCUUUUUCUUUCCAAAUAUCAAUUUUCAUCUGUGCGAAAUUUAUUGAAGGAUAAGAUAUUAAUACAAAAUUGUAAUAUAGAAAUUGAUAUGUUUAAAAAAACAAAUUGCACAUAUAGUAUGAACACUUACUAAAUGUUAUUUUAGCAUUUGCUUUUACACUGUAAAUAAACUCAUCAUGGAUACCAGGUUUAUAAAUUAUGUACGCCAGACGCACAUGUCGUCAUCAGUGGCGCUCUAAUAAAAAAAUUGAAUAGGCCAAAUUAGAAUACGAAGUUGAAGAGCACCGAGGAACCAAAAUGACGAAACGUUUUGCCAAAUACGGUUUAGGUAAUCUAUUCCUGGGAAAGUAACUCUUAGUGUUUAGAAGAAUUUAAAGUUUUGUAAACAGUUAAUUCAUAAUUAUGACCAUAAUGAAUUUUUUAAAAUAUUGAAAUUUCAUCUAGUUCGUCUUAAGCUGAAAAAUACAAAAGAUUAGUAAUAGUUAUCAAAGGUAGCAGGAUUAUAAUUUAGUACGCCAGACGCGCGUUUCGUCUACAUAAGACUCAUCAGUGACUCUCAUAUCAAAAUAUUUAUAAAGCCAAACAAGUACAAAGUUUAAGAGCAUUGAGGAUCCAAAAUUCCAAAAAGUUGUGCCAAAUAUAGUAAGACAUGCGGAACUAUAAACCCCAAUGGACCAACAAUUAGCUUAAAGCAUUUACUUGGGAAGUUGACAUUUAGUUUUGUUAAAAAAAUGAUAUAGAAAGGUCAUUUAGCCCAGCACAAUUAUUCUGUAUCCCUUUUAUUAAAAGGUUAACAAGUCUUGUGUGUUGAUAAAUAAAUUAUGCAUUUGAUUUUUAUAACUUUUUAUCUACAGUCAUUGUUGUAAGCAACGAAAUCUUGCCUUGAUGAGAAAUAUCUCGUGUUCGAUUAUUUAAGAGACAAACAAGAAGAAACAAGACAAAUCAUGAGCAAGGGCUGUGAUCUUUUGGUCCUCGAUGCUGUUCGACUUUGUGCUUGUUUCGGCUUUCAAACUUCUGUAUCUGGGCAUCACUAGUACAUCUUGUGUGGAUAAAAUGCACUUCUGGCGUAUUAAAAUUUUCAACUUGUUGCCUUUUGUUGGCUGUUGUUCGUGUGUUUCUUUGUCAAUUGUAUUCUCCAAUUUAUUUAUAUUGUAGUCCUGUGGUGUUGAGUUGUCAUCUUAAUGUUAUAUUUCACAUGGUUAUAAAAGGGAGGUUUGGCAUGCCACAAAACCAGGGUUCAACCCGCCAUUUUUUUCUUUAAAAAUGUCCUGUACCAAGUCAGGAAUAUGGCCAUUGUUAUAUUAUAGUUCGUUUCUGUGUGUGUGUUACAUUUUAACGUUGCGUCGUUUGUUUUCUCUUAUUUUUGAGUGUAAAUUCACAUUGCGAUAAGACGUGUCACGGUACUUGUCUAUCCCUAAUUCAUGUAUUUAGUUUUGAUGUUAUAUUUGUUAUUCUCGUGGGAUUUUGUCUGUUGCUUGGUCCGUUUCUGUUGUGUUUACAUUGUAGUGUUGUUUCGUUGUUCUCCUCUUAUAUUUAAUGCGUUUCCCUCAGUUUUAGUUUGUUACCCCGAUUUUGUUUUUUGUCCAUGGAUUUAUGAGUUUGAACAGCGGUAUACUACUGUUGCCUUUAUGUAGCUAUUGAACUAUAGCUCUUAGGGCCGGUUGCUUUUUAUUUUAACAAUUUGGGGACCAGAUGUCUAAAAAAAUCAUAAGCACAUAAGACCAUAGGUUCCACAGCUAUGGCUAAUUUAGAUAAUGAUAUCUUAUAACAGAUUUCAAUUGAAAAGUACAAAAACGUUUAAAGAAGUAAUUAUUUUCGGCAGGUAUAGAGGAUGAGUUUUUCAGCAUGUGAUGAACUCAAUUUUGCUUGUCAAAGAUCAAUUAUAUUUUAGGUUUAAAGGUAGAAUAACAAAAAUAUCUAACUCCCAGAAAAAUUCGAAAGGGAAAGUCCGUAAUCAAAUUUCAAAAUUACAAGUUCAUAUUCUAGACUUGGUACAGACAUUUUCUUAUGCAGAAAAUGGAGGGUCGAACCGGGUUUUGUUGCUAGCUAAACCUCUCACUUGAAAGACAGUCGCAUUAAAUUCAAUUAUAUUGACAACGAUGUGAAAAGGCGUUUUAACUGAUGCGCUUUUUAUGCUCCAUUUAUAGGCAUUAUGUUUCCUGGUCUGUUCGUCCGUCCGUUCGUUCGUUCGUCCGUUCAUCCGUCUGUUCGUUCUUUCGUCUGUCCCGUUUCAGGUUAAAGGUUUUGGUCAAGGUUGUUUUUGAUGAAGUUGAAGUCCAAUCAACUUAAAACUUGGUAAACAUAUUCCCUAUGAUAUGAUCUUUCCUAUUUUAAGGGCAAAUUAGAGAUUUUACCCCAUUUUCACGGUCAUACUGAACAUAGAAAAUGAUAGUGCGGAUAGGGCAUACGUGUACUUGGGACACAUUCUUGUUUUUAAAUUAUUAGACGGUUUUUUGACCAAUUGUCUUUUUAAGAUACGGCGAUGCAAGCUAUUCUUUGAAUAUGGGUGUGUAAGUUUCCAGUCAAUAAGUGUCUUUCUUUUUGCUUAAAUGGGAAACACAAUUAUUAACAUUAAUCUGAAUCUUAUCCUAAUCGGAUAACAUAAAAAUCAUCAUUAAUAAAAAAAACUUGCUAUUCACCAUAAUUACAAGGCUAAUCAAAGCUAAAUGAUGAAAACUAAACUAUAUUUGCGAGCUUCAGAACACAAAAGUCGCCAAGAUCAGUAAAUCCGGAAAGUGUCAUAAUCUAGGCUUCAAUUUAUGGAUACUUGUAAGUAUUUCUGAAGACUUUUUGUAUCAGGUUGAAUUAAGUUGCAUAUCAAUUAUUUACCCUUUCAUAUUUUGAAUAUUAAAUCAUCUGACUUUGCAAUUUAAACUAUCCAAGUCAUUUUCUGCGCUUGUGAAUUUUGAAUAUGGAUGAAAUAAUUCCUAUCCAACUAUAGCAGUCAUCACGUGACUUUGACGACGUCACACAGCACCCGUAUUAAGCCCAAGUAAAAGUAUAAAAAUGUACAGGGGCUUUCAAGAUUCGAUAAAACAAAGUACUUUAAGUUCAUGAUACAAAAAGUGUGGAAACAUAUAGUAAUUCCUCAUAUAUAUAGAAAUACAUUUAUGCCUUUUGAAAAAGAGUUUAAGUUUUGAUCUUCUCCCUUCCAAAUGCUUUUGAAAAUUUGUCUUGUUGCUUCGAUAAGUUCACACUGUUAAUCAUCCAACUCCGAUAAAUAUUGGAUUUUCUGUCGUGUUAAACCUAAAAUUGCGAUUUAAACAAAACAGAAGGAAUAAUUGUGGAAAUAUAUACUAAUUACUUUAUUCAUAAAUAUUCGAAAUAUUGUAUAUGCAGUAGUUUGAUUUUUUAUUAUGUCCCUUCCAAAUUGAUUUGAAAAUUCAGUCAUUUUCAGAAAAUCUUUUAUUUUUCAAGAUGGCGACCACAUUGACAGCGUGGGGCGACUUGGUAAAAAUAUAUUUUGUAAGAUUGUUACAAUGAAAAUCAAAUAAACGUUUGAUGCUCGCGUUUUCAGUCAUUGACUUACCUUAAAGCAGCAUAGAAUCGAACGUUGGUUCCUUUUGAUAAAGCUGUUACAUGCUGUUUGUUUUACAAAAUUUUGAAAAAAAAUGGCGACCAAAUAAUUUUCAAACGUGACGAUGUUCGACACUUAUUUUGUACAUGCACAUUAUUCAAUUUAAUUUCACUGUUUACAUUGCAAUUAAAUAUGAAAUGUUACUUUAAUGAUAGCCAAGGGCAUAGCUAGAUUAAGGAGAUACUAAUUAAGUCAUAACAUCAACGUGAUCAAAGAAAACAAACAUGACACCUAAUCACAAUCACAAUGUAAGUUUUGACAACACCUAUAUAAUAGAAUGAAAUUCAAAACAGUGUGGCUGUGGCCAUUGAUUGACACAUUAAAUUCAUCCAUUGACUGGGACAAUUUAGGUGAACGUUUGUAUGUAACGACCACUGCUCACUAUGUACUUUUUAAAGACACUUAAACUAUGGGCUCACCAAAGGUUCUCAACACCUUAAUAAAGUAAUUCGAAAAAUUAAUCAGAAAUAACACGAUGUUUUGAUUUAUAUCAACUAUAUAAAUCAAAACCUAAAGGUUAUUCCUGAUUAAUUUUUCGAAUUAUUUUAUAUUUAAAGACGUUAAGAAACCUUUGGUGACCCCACAGUUUAAAUGUCUAUCGUAGGUACGUCGUGAACAGUGGUCGUUACAGACAAACGUUCACGUAAAUUGUCCCAGUCAAUGGAUGAAUUUAAUGUGUCAGUCAAUGGCCACAGCCACACUGUUUUGAAUUUCAUUCUAAAUAAUAAUAAUACCAAUGUAGAUCAGUGUUGUCCGAUUCUCAAUGAAAUUCAUUACGAUACUAUUUUAUAUUUAUAAAAGAAGACCUCGAAUGGAUAUUAAUUAACCGAGGUGAAAUAAAUAUAUUGUUCAAUUUUCUUUAAAUCAUUCAUCGGGUAACCAGUAAAUUUUACAUAAUCAUAAUUAAACCAGUAACAUGCAGAGUUAUUGAACGUAAUUAUGACUGGAAUAGUUGCAUAUGCUAUCUUUUUCAUUGAUGGCAAAAGUGAUAUUGAACGCAUUGCAGGCAGGCUAACGUAAAUUUAAUAUUUUGUUGAUGGUCAGAUUGAAGUAUUUAUAGUAAAGUCAAAUUACUAUUGGACAUGUUUAUAUGGUUCAUUCUCAUUUAUCCAAAAUUAUAGGUAGUACAGGUUUUAAAAAAGUUGAAUAGAUGAGAUCAAAGGUAAUUAAGAACAAAGGGUUUUUCAAAUAGAGUUUGGGUUGAAUGACAGGUAAAAAAUAAGACUGAAAAUUAUACCAAGAUUAAAUUUUCUGUAGUAUUAUUUAGCAUAGCAUGUUAAAAUGUGCAACUGACAUUUAGUUAAUGUAAUGUAAAUCAUUUGAAAGUAUUUUAAAGUUUUUUAACCGUUAAUAAAAAUGUUAAUUGGACAGAAUACUAUGAGUUGCACUUUUAUUCAUGAAGAGGUUUUUCAAUGAGAUGGAGCUUGUUUUGUGUAAUAGAUCCUUUUCGUUCAUUUUUUUUCUGUUCUUCUGACCAAAUGAUCCAAAUGGGACAAACAAAAUAUAAGUUAAUUACGUAUUACUACACAAAGACUGAACUGAACAAAAUUCACACAAUAUAUAUAUAUAUAAACAAAAGCAAAAGCAAUUCAAACACAAUGGUUAUAAAAUGGAAUUAGAGGAAAAACAAAUGCUUGGAUAGGCUGCUAGAACACAAUGCGUUGUCAUAGAAGGGGAUCUGUACUAGGACCAAGCCUCUUCCUCUUUUACAUGAAUGACAUGCCGGAAGACGUUUCGUCAACAGUGAAGCUAUUUGCAGAUGACAUCAUUGCGUACCUCACUGUAUCAUCAGAAAGCAACAUCCUACAAGAAGACCUAAAUAAGCUAGCCAUGUGGGAAGAAAAAUGGAUGAUGCAUUUCCAUCCUGACAAAUGUGUUGUUCUGCCAAAUAGGAUUCCUAAAACUAAAUCUAAACAUAGCUAACAGUGAGAUCAAGGAAAAGGCAUUUACAGCUUUAGUAAAAUCAACAGUUGAAUAUGCGAGUUCAGUUUGGGAUCCUCACCUACAAAAAUACAAACAUAAACUAGACAUGGUACAGCGUAGAUCAUCAAGGUAUGUAACAAACAGGUACCACAACACAUCAUCAGAUGAAUCCAUAUUUCACAAACUAAAAUGACCAACACUAGAGGAGAGAAGAAAGAAUGCUAGACUCACCCUUUUUUAUUAAGUUUUUUUCAUAGGAUUUCAUUUAAAUGUUUUACAGUAUUUAAUUUUUUUUAACUUAUAUAAAACUUAUAUUGGGAAAUCUUUCAAUAUAUUUUUUCUUUUUGAAGAUUUCAAAUAGGAUUUCAUAAAAAAGGCUUAAUAGUAUUUCAUUUCUUUUCUUUUACAAAACAUUAUAUAGAACUUUUAUUGGCAUACAAAAAUCAAAUGAAAUAAAAAAUAAUUUCUAAUUUGUCAUACAAAAAGUAAUAUUGGCAAACAAAUCAAAUUAAAAAGAUAAAUAAACACAUUAUUUUUUAUUAGAAAACACAUUAAUUUCUUUUUUGUACUGUAACGUUACCAAUUGACUGGUUCUUCUAUUUUUUUUCUAUUCUAUUAUUUUCACCAUUCGAAUAUAUGUUUUGUAUCACAUGUAUUCGUCUGCCUCUUGUUUAAGUGUAAAACUGUCAUGAGAGUUUAAAGAAAGUACAUUGUACAGAUUUGUACUUCCUAUGUUCCUACUCUCUAACAAGUAAUGUCAAUUGUAAGUUGAAUCCAGUUAAUUAGUUUAAAGGUGGCUCAAGAGUAUAAUUCCAUUUUUUUUCUAUAAAUAAACUAUUUCAUAUACUUAAAAGAAAAAGAAAAUAAAAAAAUAUGGGGUCACUGUUCUGACGCUCAUACUCUGGCUUCAAAGAUAUAUAAAACCUCAAAUGAGGAACUAAAUGUUGAUGCUGGGGACAAACUAAUACCACCAGACAGAUUAUUAAGAUAUGUGAAUGCUCACUUUUUCCAAAUACCAUCAUGCCAGACCAGCACUAGGAAAGAGUCUUGACUCAUUCAAGAGCCUACUGCAAGCACAUUAUAUUUCAAUUCCAUGUUUUUAUUUGUACCAUGUAUAAAUGUUAUAUACAGCACAACAUUUUUCAUUUUUGUUUAAAUAAUUUUUGGACUUGUUUAUUUUGCAAGCGCACACUAAACAGUAGCAGGAUAGUCAACCUAAUGACAGUGGUCACUCAGUGGUAGAAGUGUCAACGUAUAUUUGUUCCACUUAACACAAGUUCCACUGGUAUCUUUGUUAUAAACAAUGCCAUAAUACCUGUUCCAAAUGGAACAAAUAUUCCAUAACCUUUAUUCCGUUAGGAACAAUUACUGUAAUAUUUGUUCCAGUGGAAAUAAUAUUCCAUGAUAUUUCUUCCAUUUGGAACUUAUAUUAUGACGGAACUUAUAUUCCGUGACA
rnacentral:lncRNA from 1 species